CAUUUUCUAGGAAAAAUCUGGUCACGUAACCCCAGCUGCAAAGGGCCUAUACUGAGAGAAUCUGCAGACAGGUGCAGAAUAGAGAACUCCUCACGCACAUCGCUUGUUGUUUUGUACUUCAAGUAAGGGGCGAACCAUUUGACUUUUGAGGGGGAGGUUGGAAGAUUUUACAGUGGGAAGAAUUUUUUUUCCCAACUGACCAACAAGGCAGAAUUUUUUUUUUCAGUCAAAAAGCGGUGCAAGCAUUGUUUUGUUUUUUUGUUUUCUUAGAUUAUCCGUUACAGGAUUUUUUUUCACUCCAAUAAGGAGUGGGACAGCCCUACCUAUUGCAAAACAACAGAAAUCUUAUCCCAAAGAUUCAACGGACUUCAUUAAUUUCAUUAAAAUAAAGUCUCAGCGGACGCUACACCAAUACUUGUUUCAGUGGAAAUAACGAGCCUCUGCACGAACCUACCAAAGAGGAGGGAAUCCAAACAGUAUGCAAAGCAUGGGAGGUUUUCAUGAGUAAGGUAGAAACAGAAAUCCUAAUCCAAAGCGCAUUUCAACCGCUCGUAUGGAAACGAUAUAUAGACCACAUAUUUUUACUCUGGACUAUAAACAGAAUUGAAAUAGCAGAGUUCAUUGAACAAGCAAAUAACCACCACCCGACAAUAAAAUUUAAAAGGAAACAGCAUGCCUGGAUACUAACAUUUGUAAAGGCGAAAGAUUAAAAAAAGACAGUUCUUGA